CCGCGCCGCGCAUGCGCGUCUCCCGUCCCCGCCUCCCGCCGCGCGCACCGCCAACGGCUCCUCCGGUCGUGAUCGUCCUGCCGGGCCCCCCAGUCCCCUGCUCUGGGGCCUGUGUCCCCUUGAGCUCCGACUCCACCCCCACCGCAGCCAGGCUGGCCGCCGAGCGCUGCUGGGCUGGGUGGUCCUGGAGACCAGGAGACAGGACAGUCACCGUGCAAACCCCCAGCCCUCCGUCUGGACCCCAGGGCCUGGCUGGCACCCUCUCCCAAGGUCAGAGUCACCGAUCCCGGUUUCAGUGGAGGAAACGGAGGCUCAGAGAGUCACCAUAUGAGCUGGCCUGUCACGGGCCGUGACGUGGCCCCGCCGUGGGUUUGAGUCCAGGCCAACAUGGCCCCAAAGGCUGUCCUUGCACAGGAGCCCGAGGCUCUGAGCCCAGCCUUGGAGGCUGACAUGGAUGCAGGGGGUCCCUCACCUGCUGAUUGGAGAGCAACGAGAAGCUGACGUUGCAGACCCUGAGACCCAGCCCUCUGUGCCUGAGGCUGCCAAGGGCGUGUGGAGCUGAAGACAAGGGCUGCUGGAGGCAGAGGGCCGUGGGGAUGCUGAGGACGGAAUGUAUACUCCUGGCUCCCGAGGAGUGGAGGAUCAGCAGAGCCCAGACCCUGCAGGGCACCCCAUGCCAGCGUCCAACUCCAGGGGCUUCUAGGAGCUGGGGCAUCUUGGUCCCCUCUGGAUCCUGGAAUGGGAGCUUCUGCUGGUCCUGGGCUCCGUGUUGGGGAACUGGUGGCUGGAUGGAAGGACCGGCUUUGCCUUUGUCAGAUCUGAUGGAUGGAUGUUCUUGAGUGCCCAAGGGCAUAGGCACCAGGGACCCAAGCCUGGAAGGUGUGAGGGAAGCACCCAGAGGCAGAGUCUGGUGGUGAGCCCAACAGAACUCGGAACCGGUAAGCAGGCGCCUCAUCCUAGAGAAGCCCCCGCCCAGCUGGCCUGGCCGGCGCCCUUGAUGAGCAGCGUGUCCUCCUGUGCGUCCUGAGGUCCCAAGGCCGCAGCCACAGACAUUGUCUGGUCAUUUGCCCAGAAGAACCAAAGUCUCAGGCUGGAGACCCCUGCUCUAAGUGUGGCCCCAGAGUCAGAAGACAGAAGGAAGCGCCUGGCUCCUCCUGCGGCCAAACAGACAAACAUGCAGAGAGCUGGGAGGAUAGACCACGGGCCGGGACAACGUCCCUCGCAUCCCAGGGCCAGAGAGCAGUUUGACACCCCUGUGGUCCCCAGAUCUUGAAAGUCAGUGUUCUAAAAAGGGACAGAGGACAGACCCGUGCAUGGCUAACGAGGCGACGCAUGUGGUGGGUGUACGUCCGAGACGCUUGGCCUCCGGGACACGGGAACGUAAACACUGGAGACGGCUGUGUCGCCCCUGCUUCGGCAGGUUUCCAGGCUGGUUGAUGACCAGCGCUGGGGACAACGUGAGGAAGAGAGGUCAGCAGACCCCGGCAGGGAGGUGUGGAGGACAUGCCUCUCUGGGAGAACCGUGCGUGGGACCCCAGGGCUCCACGGGUGCAUCCCUUUACCUGCAGAGCGAGUCCUAGGAGCCCACCCACAGGGACCCUCGCGUGAUGGUGUGCACACGUGUGCCUGUCCACUUGGGGUGUCAGGGAGGGUCCCAGGGGCGUGUACCCUUCUGAAACGUGGUUCCCCCAGCUGCACUCCGACCAGUCCUCUUCCUCCUCCACAUUUUCUGGGGCCCCAAAUCAGAAUUUCCGAAGAGCCCCUACUAUGGGACGUGGGCCAUUUGCCAUUUUUCAUUCUCAGAAUCAAGCUGAACGGAACAUCUGUGCCCAUAAAUUACUACUUCAGGAAGAACCCGUGAGGUGGAUUUUCUGGGUCAAAACAUGCAGUUUUUCCAACACUGGCCGCAAUUUCCAACACUGGCGGCCUCUGCCCGCUGUGGGCCUUGCUUGGCAAAGCGGGGCCGAGGGAAAGAGAGAGACCCCGAGGGCUGAGACCUCAGGGAGGAGGAGGAGGAGUGAGAGAGCAGGUGAUGAAGGGACCUGUGACUGACCUGCCCGGAAGGGACUGUCUCUGCCCUUGGCCCCAGACCCGGCCCCGCCCAGUGCUAGAGCUGAUCUGAACCUGGGACGGAGCUGCUCAGGUUCAAAGGGGCUCUGCUCCUAGAGCUGGAGCUGAUGCAAGAGCCGGUGUCAGACAGCUCCGGCCCCAGGGGAGGCGUGCUAGCCGGGUCUACCUCCGACGGUGGAGGCCCGGCCCCGCAGCUGCUGCAGUUCAGCGGCUCUGCCUCUGGAGGGGCCUCUGAGGCCGGCGCUGACUCCUGGGCGGGCGCUGGUGUGGCUCCAGCUGGCGUCACGGCGCCGAGCCGCUGCGGGUGUGGCCUGAGAGCUGUCCCUGGUGCUGGAGUGGGGCUGGCCUGGGGCUCACUCUGGCUCUCGUCCGGGGCUGGGGCUGGUCUCUGUGCCUCUGGCUGCAUAGCCAGUCCUGGCUCUCACUCCAUAACUGGCCCUCAGCCUGGUGGUCGAGUCGGCCAUAGCUCUGGCACCGGGUCCGCCUCUGGAAUCGCGGUCAGGGCAGAUGCUGGCCCCCCAGCAGGCGUGGAAUCCGGCCCAGGAACCGAGAAUAGAGCUGCUCUGUGCCUGAAAUGGCAUCACACUGGGGCCAGAGCUUGGCCUAGCUCUGGUGUGGCUGCCGGAGUGCCUUCUCCCAAGCCGACACUGGCUUCUGGCAGCCAAGCUGGCCCUGGCUCUGGAGCUGGCCCUAGAGCCAUGACUGCAGCCGGCUCUACCUCUGAAGCCGGUCCUGGAGCCGCUGCCUCCUGGAGCCUCACACUGGCUCUGUGCCGGUUCUCCUGAAUGGGCACUAGAACUAUCAUGGGGCUGGUGCAGGAGUGGGUGAGAGGUCUGUGUCUAUGUCUGGAGUCGGUGUGAUGGCUGAUGUCCAGGCUGCCUCCGGCCUGUGGGACAGCACCAGCCUUCCCGGGAGCAGCACUGGGGCGGCCGCUGGUACUGCAGUGGGAGCCAACACUGGCUGGAGCCCUGGAGGAGGUAACAGAACUGCCUCUGGGAGUGGUUGGUGCUGGAGCCCGUGCGGGAAGUGACCCUGAGUCUGGAGCUCUGGGGGGGCUGGCUCCAGAGAUCACCUGCGCUCUUGUGCUGCUGCUGGGAGUUGGCUGGAGCUCUGGUACUGCCCUGGAGCACUCAAGUCUCUGGGGCUCAUCCUCCCGCAGGCUCCGGUGCUGGCACCAGCUUCAGAGGGAGCUCUGCUCAAGAGCUGCCAGGAGGUCUCGUUGUGUUCCCAGAGCCGCGCUGGAGCAGACCGAGUGCAAUUCUGUUGCCCUGGGAUCUGGGUGGGGUCUGAUCCAGAGUCCAGGGCUGGUGCCCAAGCUGGUUCUGGAGCUUCCCGGAGUUCGGGGGCUUUCCCACUAGCUGAUGUCGGAACUCGUUCUCGCUCCGGAGCUGACUCUGGAUCGAGGGAUAAAGCUGGCUCCCGUUCUUGGCGGCACUGGCUCUGAGCCUAGAGGUGGCCCCGGGUUUGGCUCUAGCCCUGGUGCCGCACGACCUCUAGCUGUCGGGCGUGUGCCAGAAAGGCCUCUAGCUGCAGACCAGGCUCUGGCGCUGGGGCGAGACCAGGCGCUGGCGGUGGUGCCGGCUUGCGAGCUGGCAGUCCAGCUGGCCAUGGAGCCGCAAGACAACAAAAUGUUCACCAGCCUCGAGUCCAUGGACUGUACACGCGUGUGUGUGUGCGUGCAUCAAGUACACACCUUUUCUUCCCUUAUCUUCUUACCACAUAGCAUAAGGUAGAAUGUACGAUGUACCCGCAGUAGUUACCCUCACAUCCCAGUGCUUAAGUUGCUGGGCGUCGAGGAGAGACACGCAAGCCUCCCGCCAGCAUGCUGCAUGCCCUGGGAGCGGGUCUGUGUGUUUGAGUCACACCUGGGACCUGUGUUUUGUUGGGAAGAGUGGCUCGCUUACUGUCCUCACUCCGAGACUCGGCACGGCUCCAGCAGAGCUGUGGGUCCCACGUCAGGAGAGGGCGGGCUGAAACGGUGGCCUCACCUCAUUCGGUCAGACUGGUGAUUUAGUCCACACGUGUUGCACAGGUGUGCCUGACGUGUACAACUAACUGCCUUCAAGAAAAGAAGUGAAAAGAGUGAGUGUUAGUCCCUCAGUCGUAUCCAACUCUUUGUGACCCUCUGUCCAUGGGAUUCUCCAGGCAAGAACACUGGAGUGGGCUGCCAUGCCCUCCUCCAGGGGAUCUUCCUGACCCAGAGAUCAAACCUAGAUCUCCUGCGUUGCAGGUGGAUCCUUUACUGAGCCACCAGGGGAGCCCAAGUAAAGAAGAUUACUGUCAAUAAUGUGGGUGGGCAUCCUCAGUUGAAGGCCUUAUGAGCAAAAAGCAAGGUUUCCUGGACAAAGAGGUCUGCCUCCAGACGCAUCUAGAUGCCUACAAGCCUGGCCUGCAGACUUUGGACUUCUCCACCCACCAAUGCACAUGAGCCAACACGUUAAAAAUCAGUUUUCACUCUGAGUACACAUCCACACACGCGUGUGUGUGUACACAGGUGUGUCCUGGUGGAGGGCCCUGACACGCACUGUCCUUCCUGCUCCCCCUUUACCAUCACUGUUCUCUGAGGCCCUGGACUCAAUGCCCAGUGGCCUGCAACCGUGGUGUGGCCUCCUGGGCUCCACCAGCACUGCCUGGGGCUAUGAGCAGAACUGAGCUGACGCUGUCCUGGAUGAAGAUACACGGAUGACCGCUUACUCGUGGCAAGUCAGAACGUGGUCAGAGAGCUUGUACUCGUGAGGUCAGCCGAUGACACGUCAGACUCCUGGAACAGAAAGGCAGACAGGUAAGGGCUCAGGGAAAUAAACUAAACCCAAGAUUUUUCAAAAUGCAGACUUCCACAACAGGAAGGUCUGCUCAGAAUAUGUUACCAUCCCUUUAACACAAGGCUCUGCCUGGCCACCGUCACCUUUCGGCACACAGCUUAGUCCAUGCUGUUUCCUGCACAACGCUGUCCUCUGAUGCCCAGCAUUCUCACUCUACAGUCUAACAGAAGAGGCAGUCGUGUGUGUGCAGGCGAAAGGAGCCACCACUCCAGGAAUUGUCAGUUAUGUCUGAACUUUGAGCUUGUCUGUUUGAAUGUCUCUUGUUUGGGGUGUCCAGUAGGCUGGCCCAGCCCCAGUCACACAGCAGCCAGGGCAAGGAUUCCAGGACCAAGAGAUCUACACGAGUCCUUCAGCCAUCUUGCAGCACAUGUUUAGUUUGGGGAUUCUGGUUUGCUUCCAGGGAGGUUCUGGGUUUGGUGAGGGAGAAAGAGGAAGACAGGGAGGCAGAUGAUUUCAUGGCUUAAAAGGGGCUGUGAAAGCUUUUCCCACUAAGUGCAGAAACGCUAUUUGACAAAACCCAACACCCUCUCGUGAGAAAAGCACUCAAGAAACUAGAAACAGAGAGCAUUUCCUGAGGACACCCUGCAGCUCACGUCGCACUCGGUGGGGAAGACUGGAGCCUCCCCAGGGGGCAGGAAAGAGGAACAGGGACCAGUCCCGCCAGCUCACUGCUGCGCUUCACUGAAGGCUUUAGCCUCGUCCAUCAGGUAAGAAAAAAUAAAGUCAUCUAAGCUGGAAAGGAUGAAGCAAAACUAUGUCUGUUUGCAAAUGUCAUGACCACGUACAUAGGAAAUCACAGAGAAUACACAGGAAAACUAUCAGAACUAAUAAACCAUUCAGCAAGGUUUCAGGACACAGUGAAAUUGUGAUAGUCACCCAGUCGUGUUCUACUCUUUGCGACCCCAUGGACUGCAGCCUGCCAGGCCCCUCUGUCCAUGGGAUUCUCCAGGUGAGAAUACUGGAGUGGAUUGCCAUUUCCUUCUCCAGCAGCAUGCAGGAUAAACAGCACAAAAUUCAAUUGCAUCAGAAUGUCAACGGGGGCAGCCAUAGUGGAAAACGGAAAAUGGUAUGGAAGUUCCUCAAAAAAUUAAAAAUAUGUAGAAUUACUAUGUGGUCCUGCAAGCCCACUUCUGGGUGUUUAUCCAGAGGAAAUUAAAACACUAAUUCAGAAAGAUAUCUGCACCCCCUCUUCACUGCAGCACUGCUUACCGUAGCCAAGAUACAGAAGCAGCCUGAGCAUCCGCUGAGGGAUGGAUAAAGAGGAUGUGUGUGUAUAAUGGAAUAUUUAGCCCUAAAAGAAGGAAAUCCUGCCAUUUGCUGUAACAUGGAUGACCCUUGAAACAAGUUGAAGUGAAGUUGCUCAGUCAAAACAAGUUGAAGUGAAGUGAAGUUGCUCAGUUGUGUCUGACUCCUUGCAACCCCAUGGACUGUAGCCGGCCAGGCUCCUCUGUCCAUGGGAUUUUCCAG